UCACGUCUUACGACGGCAGUUUCACUAGAGUUCCCAGCGUUACCUGAUGGCAACUAGUGAUGGGGGUUGCGCUCGUUGCGGGACUUAACCCAACACCUCACGACACGAGCUGACGACAGCCAUGCACCACCUGUACAGGGCCCCGAAGGACACCGGCUUUCACCGGCUUUUCCCUGCAUGUCAAGCCUAGGUAAGGUUCUGCGCGUUGCUUCGAAUUGAACCACAUGCUCCGCUGCUUGUGCGGGCCCCCGUCAAUUCCUUUGAGUUUUAACCUUGCGGCCGUACUCCCCAGGCGGUCAACUUCACGCGUUAGCUUCGUUACCAAGGAAUUGCUUCCCCGACAACCAGUUGACAUAGUUUAGGGCGUGGACUAC
rnacentral:misc_RNA from 1 species